GUGCAUUUGAUCUCCAGAAACUCGUUAAAGACAACUAGCUAUUUUACCCUGAUUUCCAUUGGUGGCAGGUCACUGGACACAGCUAUGAGAUUCCACGGGGGUCAAGUCCUAGAAAAAAAAGUGUGGGAAGUCAUCCAAGAUUUCCUCCACACCAAGAUGGGUGAAAUGUCCUAUGCAAACUUAAAGGACACUAUAGUCACCAAAACAACUACAGCUUAAGGCAUCG